CACGAACGCCAACUGGCAGGGUGUGUUCCCGCCUGGCUCCCUAUCCUGCAGUCACUCUUUCGUAAUACACUCACAUAUCUAUUCUUGCAACUGGAUUCCCAUCCCAUCCACUUGCUGCGAGAUCGGAGCGACCUCUACGUCACACAGUCUCCUCCCCUUCAACGCCACGCCGAGGUGAUGACUGGCACACCUCGGACCAAUAGUGAUAGGAGUCCUCGGUUCUUGCUUUUCCCAGCGGCCAAUCAGAAUCCGGUAGGGCGGAGUCACUGUGGGCCUGGCAAUCAUGCCUGGUUGCUAAUGUAAGCUUUGGAUGGGAUUUUGUUGCGGUCGUCUGUUCAUGCUAGCCCGGCUAACUGCACAGCCCUGGAAAGUAAAGCAGAUGGAACAACGGUGAUUUCCACUAUUACAAUAACUGUGCAUUCAUGAAGCCUUUACCCGCUGUGAAGUGACCGACU
ensembl:lncRNA